AUACGAAGGUCCCAAGCGUUAUUCGGAAUCACUGGGCGUAAAGAGUACGUAGGCGGUUUGGUAAGUCAGGUGUGAAAUCCCGGAGCUCAACCCCGGAACUGCAUCCGAUACUGCCAGACUUGAGUAAUGGAGAGGCAGGUGGAAUUCUCGGUGUAGCAGUGAAAUGCGUGGAUAUCGAGAGGAAGACCAAUGGCGAAGGCAGCCUGCUGGACAUUUACUGACGCUGAGGUACGAAGGCUAGGGGAGCGAAAGGGAUUAGAAACCCCGGUAGUCC
rnacentral:rRNA from 1 species